GUCCAGGGGCCGGAAUCGAACCAACAAAGUGGACAUGGCAUCUGCCCGGUAAGCGGAAGGUUGUGGGUUCGAUUCCCGCCCCUGGACA